rnacentral:rRNA from 1 species
UACGUAGGGGGCAAGCGUUGUCCGGAAUCAUUGGGCGUAAAGAGCGUGUAGGCGGCCCGGUAAGUCCGCUGUAAAAGUCAAAGGCUCAACCUUUGAAUGUCAGUGGAUACUGCCGGGCUAGAGUCCGGAAGAGGCGAGUGGAACUCCUGGUGUAGCGGUGGAAUGCGCAGAUAUCAGGAAGAACACCAACGGCGAAGGCAGCUCGCUGGGACGGAACUGACGCUAAGGCGCGAAAGCGUGGGGAGCGAACAGG